CUCUUGACAGCCUAUUAAGAUUUACAAAUCUCCUUUCAUAAGUGAACUGUUACUGAAGACAACUUCAUAAAUGAAUACAGAGUGACAACUAAAGUCAUCAAACGGCUCUGUAAUUAUUGGAUUAAGGGAAAAUAUGGACAGAUUAUUUGAGACACAUGACAAGGAACAAUAUUGGAAAAAAUACAUAAAACCAGGAAUACGGUCAUGAAAAAUGUCUACCAUCAGAAGCAAUAGACUUGAGAAUGAAACUUCUGCAUCAGUAUAUGCUGUCUUUGCAUCUAAAAUGAUCUGUGAAAGAAUAAAGUCAUACUUCAGCUGCUGCUGUGUUUAAUCUAUCAGCAUUCAGAC